UUAAAAGGCAAAGCAGUCGAAAGACUGUGACGCAAAGCUAAAGGGCCUUCACAAGAUCACUUGUAAGGUAGCCAGUUGC
rnacentral:ncRNA from 1 species